UGGAUUUACUUUCAAAACUUUCCAGUUCUAAUGAUACAGAGAAGAUUAGCAUGACGCCUGCACAAGGAUGACGCGCAAAUGCGUGACGCAUUCCAUAUUUUU